CCCUCACAGUCAAGAAUUUCUUCCUAAUAUCUAAUAUAAAUCUGGCAAAUUGUGACAUCAAAUGUCAUAAUUUACUUCUGACAUAAUUUCUGUGUCUCAGUGAUCUCCACAGAGGCUGAGAACUCAGGCACAUUUCUAUGCAAUCCCCUGCUCCCAUCUCUUUAGCCAACCUCCUCUGGAUUUCAAACUCUAUAUGGGAGCUCCUUGAGGACCCACUCCUGUUGCAUUUUGGGAAGAUUAUAAGUGCUCUGUUUGCAUGCAGUUUGAUGCAGUGUGUGGAUUUUUAUAACUAUGACAAAUAUGAGACACACACGAUUUUCUAGGGACAGCGGCUGCUCCCACCUCCAGUUAAUGUGACUGAGAACUGCAAGAUUGGGUGGAAAAAUAAGGGUCCAGUAAGCCCUUCUGCACUAAAUGGUUAGAGCUUGGCUGCCUGAAGGUUGAUAUUAAAUAAUUUAUACAAUCCUUCAAAUAAUUAUAAAUAAUAAUCCUUUAAAUAGUUAUAAAUAAUGUAUACAAUCCUUCACCUGGAAAUGAACAUAAGUGGCAUUUGCUACAUGCUGUUGCCUUCUAGAUUUGCAAGUUGUUGUUUCUGAAGCUGUCAGCUAGAACACAUUUAAUGUAUGACUAAACCUCAUUCAUGCAGUUUUAGAUCAGAUUGGUUUCUGCGAAUACUGUCUCUUUCCUACUGCACUGAUGCUCAGUUCUCUGGCUACAACAGACUGGCCACUGUCAUUUCAGUGUUCACUGACACCAGGGCAACAGAUCUAGCUCUCUCACAUCUGCACAAAACAGCCUUUCAGGGCUCAGGCAUUAUCUCUAGGACUCUCAAAAGCACACAGCAUCUGAAGCCAGAAUUAGCCAGAUAGCAAGGAAGACACCUGACAUCAAGUGGAAAUGAAAAAGGAAAAUCUAAUGACCACAGGGUCAGAAGCUCAAUGAUUUAAUGGUAUUCUUCAAGUGCCCAUCUUGUUACAGAUGGGUAAUUGCUGUUAGAACAACAUGGCUAACACUUUAUUUUCCUACAGGAGAUAAUUACUUUGAUUGAAAACACUGGCUGUCAGACAAUGGCAUACCUACUGCAACACCUGCAGACCAGGAAUGGGCAGCUGCAUUUGUCUUGUAGCGGUGCUAAUCAGGUUCCUGCAACUGCCACACCUUUGACUGAGGUUGAGGUGACAGGCUGCCGUGGUGCUUAUGAGGUCUUUUUUCCUCUUUACUGAUUGCUUUAGUCUCAGUUCCUCCCUCACUUUUUAAAACUCCAAAACACAUUAUUGGCACUAACAGCAAAUACAGAGAAGAGAAACUGCCAGACAAUCGACUGAUAUAAAUUCAUGUGCUAUUUUAGUCGGCUGCGCUCUUUAUAUAUAUGCAAGAUGAAAAAAAUUAACCCCAAAUCUGAUGAAAUACAAAUUAGUAUUUGAUACUACCUGCAAUGAUUAUGUGUAAAUCCACAAAUGAAAUUGCAGACUAGACUAACCUAUCAUGUUCAGGUUAGCAUUUGCCAGCUACCCAGUGUCCAUUCUCAGCUAAGAUAGACAUUUUAAACAUGCACUUUUUUCUGGCUGAGUUCACUAUAUUUUUAAGCAUAAUAAAAGAAUACAUAAAUACUUUUUAUAAACUGUGUGGGAAUGAUGAAAGAAAAAAACCACUUUCUUUACAAAUAAUAUGUGUUGUACUGAAGAACUUUGUCAUAUAAAAAAAUGGAUGAACAUCGAGGGCAAAAAUAACCUCGCCUUAAUCAUUGAAGUGACAAGUUAAAUUUGAUGUCAAUGGCCUUCAUAGAGGCCAUCCUCAAAAUGAGCAGCAAGUUUUCUCUAAAGGCCUUGUGGAAGUAUGGGCUUAUUCACUGUACAUAACUGUUUCCCUAGAAUAGAAAUCUCCAGGGAGGAUUAGCUUUAUCAACUGUAACCACAGCAAUAUAAUCUUAUGUGACUUCCUUUUACACAUAGCUGGAAUGCUGUUUAAAUUCAUCUAGUUUGACCCUAUAGUAUAAUGAUGAAUCAUGCUUAUAAAUAAGGAGGUGUGCUGCUAUUGACUGGAGUAGAGUUCAUUUUCUUCCCAGCAGCUGAUAUGGGGCUGUCUUUUGAUUUUGUGCUAGUAACAGAGGGAUAUUUUCAUUAUUGCUGAGCAGCACUUGUACUGAGUCAAGGCUCUUUCUGCUCCUCGCCCCUCCUCCCCCCACCAGCAAGGGGCCUGGGAGUGUACAGGUUGGGAAGGGACACAGCUGGGACAGCUGAACCUCAACUUAACCAGGGGAUGUUCCAGACCAUAUGGAAUUAUGCUCAGCAUAGAACACAGCAGUGGGAUGUUAGGAGUGAUGGUGUUUGUCUUCCCAAGUCACUGUUACAUGUGAUGGAGCUGUGCUUACCUGGGGAUGGUGACCUGCCCAUGUGAAGCGCUGAAUUAAUUAAUUACUUGUUUUGUUUUGCUUACAUGUGCAGCUUUUGCUUUCUCUAUCAAACUGUCAUUGUCUCAACCCAUGAGCUUUCUUAUUUUUUAUUCUUGCAGUUCUCUCCUCCAUCCCAAGAUGGGGUGGGGGUGAGCAAUCAGCUGCAUAGGGAUAAGCUGCUGUCUGGGGUUAAACCAUGAGAGCAAGAGAAUUUUAUGGAGCGAGAUUAUUCGACAGGCAGUCAAAUAAUCAUUUGUAAGGAACUGAAGAGGAACCAUGAAGAGUCACUUAAGAUUUGCUGCAGAUGACAAUAAAGUUAUGAAUUUACUAAAGUUAAAUUGCAUUUCUCAGCAUCCUAGACAUUGCAGAAAGAGAGAUAUGACACUUGAAAUGUGGUAUAUCCUAGUGGCAAUUACAUUACUGUAGCACAGCCAGAAAAUACAUAUUUAUUAUUUGCCCUGCACUCUACUAUUCUGUCUUCUUUCUUACCCAGCUGCAUCCAAAACUUUGAAGCUCCUGUAGAGUCAACAAUGAAGAGCAGGUAUUUCUUCACUGUGAAUCUAACACAGUUGUCAUCUACUUCAGAGGGCUUAGAUGCCUCAUUCUCUUCUGAGAUUCCUAAAAACCUGGAUGACAAUUUUAUGGAGCAAGUCCUAAGGGAAGCAAUUGAAAAAGAUGACCUUCUUGAUCUGCUGCUUGUCAACAGAGUGGAUUUUGAGAGCGGAGUAGAGACUGGCAGCUGUCUUGGCCACAGUGACCAAGAAGGAAUUGAGUUAAAAUCUCUGUUAAUAGGAGGGAAAGUGCUGGCAAAACCUCAGCUCUGUAUAUGAGGAGAGCAGACUCAGGUUUCUCAGGCAAUUAGUGAGUCAGGUCCCCGGGAACAUUUUUUGCAGAUGCUGCAGUCCAUCAGUGCUGGUGACUUUUUAAAUAUCACUUCCUAAGAGCACUGGAGCAGGCAAUUCCCAAAAGUCAGAAGUCAAGCAGGGGAGGCAGAAGACCAGCUUGACUGAACAGGAGCCUUCUCUUGGAAAUAACGGAAAAAAGGAAGGCCCAGUGAAAAACAGGGCCAGAUAAUAUGGCAAGGAUACAGAGAUACUAUAGAGAGGAAAUUCAGGCAGCCAAACCUGGAGCUGAAGCUGGCCAAAACUGUGGGGGAAAAUAAAAAGUUUUUUUCAAAUAUAUCAAUGGCAUCGGGAAGUGCAAAACUAAUAUCAGGUCAUUACAGGAUGGUCUCCCCGCAAUCAGGGACAUGGACAAGGCAGAGGUUUAACAUAAUCUUUGCCUCUGUCAUCAACACCAGAUGGGCUAAGGGGGUCUCAAUGCCCUAAGUUGAAGAAGUAUGACUGCAGGAAUGAUUAAUUCCCAGACAGCCUGGGGCUCCAGCUGCAUCCCUAAAAAUCAUGGAGCCUGUUGGUCUGAAGCCAACAGAGCUUCAUGAGAUGAAAGUCCUGCUUAUCAAACCUGAUUUCCUUUUAUGACAAGAUAACCCACCUAGCUGAUCAAGAAAAGCCAGAUGAUGUAAUCUUUUUGGAUUUUAACAAAGCUUUUGAUACUGUCUCUUCCAGUGUUCUUCUGGGCAAAAUGUCCAGCUCACAGCUGGAAAAACACAUCUUGUGAUGGGUCUGCAGCUGGCUCAGGGUUCAGGUACAAAGGGCUACAGUGAGUGGUGUGGCAUCAGACUGAUGACCUGUCACUAGUGGAGUUCUGCAGAGUUCCAUCCUCAGCCGUCUGCUUUUCAACAUCUUCAUAAAUUACUUGAAUGCAGGACUGGAAGGGACACCAAGCAGGUUCUCAGACGAUUCAAAACUGGGAGGAGCUGUUGAUUUCCUCAAAGCCAGGGAGACCCUGCAGAGACACCUCAACAAGUCAGAGGGCUGGCUAACCACCAACCAUACAGAUCUCAACAAGGGAAAAUGCUGGAUUCUGCACCUGGGAUGGGGCAAACCUGGAUGUACAGAAAGACUGGGGAAUGAGAGGCUGGAAAGCAGUGCCACAGAAAGAGUCCUGGGGGUCCUGAUGGAUGGAAAGUUGGAUAUAAAUCAGCAGUGCCCUGGCAGGCAGGAGGGCCAGCUGUGUCCUGGGGGACAUCAAGUCCAGCAUCACCAGCAGGGCAAGGCAGGGAUUGUCCCUCUGCUCUGCACUGGGCCAGCCUCACCUCGAGUGCUGGGGGCAGUUCUGGGUGCUACUAUAUAAAACAGACUUAAAGCAAUUAAAAACCAUCCAAAGGAGGGCUAAGAAGAUGACAUAUUAGGAGUGGCUGAGGUCACUUGUUCUGUUCAGCCUGGAGGAGACUGAGGGGAGACCUCAUUGCAGUCUAGAACUUCUUUGUGAGGGGAAGAGGAGAGGCAGGCACUGAUUUCUUCUCUGUGGUGACCAGUGACAGGGCCUGAGAGAAGGUGUCAUGGGAGGUUUAGGCUGGAAAUUAGGAAAAGGUUCUUCACCCCAAAGAUGGUCAGGCACUGGAACAGACUGCCCAGGGAAGUAGCCACAGCACCAGCCUGAUAGGUUCAAGAAGUGUUAGGACAAUACUCUUGAACACAUGGUGUGGCUCUUGGGGAUGGUGCUGUGCAGGACCGGGAGUUGGACUUGAUCUGGGCGAGUCCCUUCCUGCUCAGCAUAUUCUGAGACUCUGUGAGAUCUAAGCCAGUAUGACAAAUCCUGUUGCAUGGCCACUGGGAGAGGAGCAUGCUUUAACCUAAAUUAGCCCUUGGGAUUAUGUUGCAGAGAAAUAAAGAUACCCACGUUUAAUUAUCCUUCCUCCUCCUUACAAAUAAUUUGAAAACCAAUUCAUAGAGCAUAUUAUUGUUGUGUGGCCCUUGGGAUACUUUCCUUGUUCCUCAUUUAUUCAUCAUUAUAUUCUUUUACAAUUACAGCAGGAAGCUGCCACUAUUGCUCAACAUCAGCUGUACAAGAAAUGUAAAAUUAGGACCAUCCAGGGAGUAGAACAAGAAGGAUUCAGACAGAUAUUUAAGUAUGUUUACUUAAUAAAGGCAUAUUUUGGUGCAUCCCUGUGUAUCCCAAUAUACAAUAAGAAUUUGUACAGCAAAGAACGGUAGGAUUUCAUCCCCCUAUUUUCAGGUAAGUCUCCAGAAGACUGUGUGGUAAAUUGUCAUUGGGAGAGGCCUCAAGGUCAGAUGUAGUUGGAAAAGCAAGAGAGGGACAUGAUUAACACGAUUUCAUCAAGGACAUGGCUCACUUGGACAUAGUCAUUAGGUUUUCCUGUUGAAAUGGCUCAAGAGGGAAAGAAAAAACUGAAUGAAGAAGAACCAAAAGCCUGCAAUAUUUCCAUGAGGAAACACCUAAAUACAGCACAUGUGUCUAUGGAGUGAGUUUCAAAUCCUGGGCUGCUAAUGAGGCCAAGCCACCUAAAUUUUUGACUGUCAAAGCAGAUGUUUUUCUCUGAGUUAGGGGACACAGCUGAGGUGCUCUGACUGGGGUGUCCUGUUUGAUGUCCACACUGCUAUUGGCUGGCCAGGUGUCUGCAGUGACGCUGAGUUGUGAGGAUUUCUGAAGGAAUUUGGAAUGAGUUAGAAACGGGACCUCUGAGCUGCUUUUCCUUAUCUUCUACACAGGCAGGAAAGGUGAGUUUGGCUCACAUCUUCACCUCAUGGCUCAGAAGGUCCCAAGUUACAAGACUUAGUUACAAAACCUUUUAAGGAUUUAUUAACCAAUAAAACAUUGCCAACAAUGAUAUUUAUGCUUUUGACCCAGUCCUUAAAUAUUUCGUUCUUAUGGACUCAUGCUACAGUGUAAGCUUUCUUAGCCAAUCAUGUUAUGACACACAAAUGUAUAGUACUGUACAAUAAAACUCUAAACUUUGCUAAA